AUUGAACGCUGGCGGCAGGCCUAACACAUGCAAGUCGAGCGGAGCGGCGGACGGGUGAGUAAUGCCUAGGAAUCUGCCUGGUGGUGGGGGAUAACGUCCGGAAACGGGCGCUAAUACCGCAUACUAUCAGAUGAGCCUAGGUCGGAUUAGCUAGUUGGGGGGGUAAAGGCAUACCAAGGCGACGAUCCGUAACUGGUCUGAGAGGAUGAUCAGUCACACUGGAACGUAGAGACGGUCCAGACUCCUACGGGAGGCAGCAGUGGGGAAUAUUGGACAAGGGGCGAAAGCUUGAUCCAGCCAUGCCGCGUGUGUGAAGAAGGUCUUCGGAUUGGAAAGCACUUUAAGUGUGGAGGCGGUACCAACAGAAGAAUCACCGGCUAACUCCGUUCCAGCCGCCGCGGUAAUUC
rnacentral:rRNA from 1 species